ensembl:lncRNA
CCCCCAUCAAUGAACAAUUGGGAACAAGUCCGGGCAUGCCGGGCGAGUGCCCCGCUCCCAUCCCUUCAGUGGGUGAGCAUAAAGUGCAGCAUGAAUCCACAGAUUGUUGGGAGUUUUUCUCUUUUUCUGCCCAGCAGCAGCUGCCUCGUGCAGCUGCUCAGAGAUGCAGCUUGUGAGAGAUCCAACAGAACCGGCCGAAAGAAACAACAAACCCCGAAAUCAGAGCAGGUGAAGGAGAAAAUGGCCGCCACAAAGAGACCUCGUCUGGUGUUGGCGGUGAUCCCUGCCUGCUAACCCGGCCCGGCUUUGGCCCGCCUCCAGUCCAAACAGAACCCACUUUGUCCUCCACUCUUGUUUUUGGCACCAGCUGUUCGAGCACGACUCCAGCAGCUGACUCCUUUGUUUUAGGUGGCCAUAAAAGUUCCAGCCAGACAACAAUGCCUG